rnacentral:tRNA from 1 species
GGAGUUGUGGCUCAGUGGUAGAGCGUGCACCUUGCACAUGUGAGGCACUGGGUUCAAUCCUCAGCACCUCAU